GCUCUUGGUACAUGAUGGUUGCUCAAUCAAUGUUGGUUACCUCCUUCCACCUUUCCUGUCCCUCUGAUAAAUGAAUGUCCUUGUAUCUAUCUUUCUGUGGAGCAUUUGUAGAUUGAAAUGAGUAUUUCUAAAGUGAUGUAUUGUAAUCAAGGAAUGUAAAUGCUUCUCAGUGACAUUUCUUUAUUCAUCCAACAUUUAUUUAUCAAGCACCUUCCAUGUGACAAGCACAGAGCUCGGAUGGGCAGCCAACCAUGAACAAGAAGGACACGGCCACGUGCCACAUGCACGGGAGGUAGGCAAGUGUGGAACACAGGAGAGUCAUGAAGAACAUGACUGUGAACUGUGAUAGGCACUGGGAAGGAAACAGCAGGGGCUGAGAAACAGAAUGAGGGCCUCAGGAUGCUUCAAGCGAAGCCAUGGAGGAAGGUUUUUCUGAAAAUUUGAUGUAUAAGCUGCUAUCUAAAGGGCAUGAUGGAACCAAGGGCAGUCGUCCUUCUUGGCAUUCAUUGAUAGAUGGAGCUAUCUGUGGAGACCCCCGAGAAGCUACGGAGGUGCAGGUGUAUUCGCCUCUACAUUGAUUCUACAUCUGGGUGGCUAUGCAUUCACUAACUUAUAAUGUUUUUCUUUCCUUUUCAUCAUCUGCCAGGUGAGCAAGUCAAUCAUCACCUUUUAAACACUUGAGAUUUCUAAUCUAUUUGUGGCUGAGAAAUCUAACAAUUGUGCUGGUUAGAAUUACAUAAGGAUGACAUUGGCUUUGGAUGAGGUCUCUCCUGUGAGUGUCGUAAACCAAACUUCAGAGCCUGAGCUGUGUACUAGUGCACUCAUUAAACUUCUCAGAGACCAGUUUUGUUCCUGAGAUCUUGGUUAAGUUCUGGACAAGUGAGGUUCUAGGACAGACACCCCAGCUUAGGAGCAUUGUGUUUGAUGUAAAAGGAAAUGGGGUGGAAAAAUAUGCAAGUGUCUCAUCUCUCCUGUCAAGUGCAUGGCUACUUGAUUACAUCCUCUACCCCAAGAAUGCCACCCUGCUUCAGAUCACUCCACUCCAGGGCCUACUGGAGAGACAGAAGAAUGUGGGAGAAAUGCGAGCUUGAGAUGAUUUUGCUCUUGUUAUUAAAAUGCUCUUCUCAUUGUGUGGUAAAAUUACAGAAAAUGUCUUUCUCUUCAGAAAACAAAGACUUCAGCCCCAAAGAGGGCCCAAGAGAGUUUUAGGACAAAUUUGCAUCUCUCUGGCAGGAACUAUGUAUGAAUUCAAGACAGAAAAGGAAUAUUUACAUAAUGUAUACUAUAUUUCUGUUAUAGCUUUCCAGAGAGCUCCCUAGCAAGAACUGGGAAGAGGUAUGAGGGGCAAGAAAGCUCCAAGCAGCCUCCCCUACUGAAAGCUAAUUGUAGUGGCACUGAUUGAAAGGUGGUGGAAGUUGUAGAAAGCCCUAGAGAGCAAUCAACAGGCUUAGGGCAGGCUGACCCCAAGACCUUGGGUCACUGUGUGGCUUUGAGCAAAUUGCGUAAUCUAUUUUGGCCCUAAUUCUCUCUUUUUAAAAAUGAGAUUGCACACCAGCAACUGUUGUUGCUCUUUCAGCUUGGAAGUGCUGUCUUUGUGGGUAAAUAAGGCAUUUUUAAGGCUAGUCUAAAUUUACAAGUGAACCUGUGGAGGCCCUGGAAAUACACUUACAUAUUUCACAUAGGACUACUGUAGUCACUACAAUGAGAAAGAAUUUCACUUCCUGCAUUGGAUCGGGUGGAUUAGAGUUGGUGCAUAUAAAGCAGCUAUGACAUGAAAA
rnacentral:lncRNA from 1 species